UACGUAGGGUGCAAGCGUUGUCCGGAAUUAUUGGGCGUAAAGAGCUCGUAGGCGGUUUGUCGCGUCUGCUGUGAAAACCCGAGGCUCAACCUCGGGCCUGCAGUGGGCACGGGCAGACUAGAGUGCGGUAGGGGAGAUUGGAAUUCCUGGUGUAGCGGUGGAAUGCGCAGAUAUCAGGAGGAACACCGAUGGGGAAGGCAGAUCUCUGGGCCGUAACUGACGCUGAGGAGCGAAAGCAUGGGGAGCGAACAGG
rnacentral:rRNA from 1 species